CAGAGGGGGCAAGCGUUGUUCGGAAUUACUGGGCGUAAAGGGCGCGUAGGCGGCCUUCUAAGCCGAACGUGAAAUCCCCGGGCUCAACCCGGGAACUGCGUCCGAGACUGGAAGGCUUGAAUCCGGGAGAGGGAUGUGGAAUUCCAGGUGUAGCGGUGAAAUGCGUAGAUAUCUGGAGGAACAUCGGUGGCGAAGGCGGCAUCCUGGACCGGUAUUGACGCUGAGGCGCGAAAGCCAGGGGAGCAAACGGGAUUAGAUACCCCGGUAGUCCUGGCCCUAAACGAUGAAUGCUUGGUGUGGCGGGUAUCGAUCCCUGCCGUGCCGAAGCUAACGCAUUAAGCAUUCCGCCUGGGGAGUACGGUCGCAAGGCUG
rnacentral:rRNA from 1 species